CUCACUUGAGUUAUGUAUAUUUCCUUUCUUCCAUCUUGACCACAUUCAUUAGAGUCCUCUAUCUUUUCCUGUCAUCCUGGUGUUUAAUACAUCACCAGACAGAAUAAGAGUCUGUAAACUGCCUCUGAGAGCAAAGAUGUCGUUCAGGAUUUGGCUUGAAGCUGCACUCUGUCAGCUUAUUUCAUUAGAAGUUUUCAUUUUCAUCAUUAUCCCAGGGAGGUGUGGGGACCUGUUAGGUUUCUGACCCAGAAUGUGCCAGGGGAAGGGGAAGGUAAGGUGGAGGAGAGACAGUAGCAGGUCUUCUGUGGGUGGUGUUUGGGGGCGUAUAAAGAUCUCAUCUCUAGUAUCCUUACAUGGCAUAUGAGAUAAAAGAAGACGGUUUUCCAUGUCAUAAUGAACGGCACAGUCAAGAUGCUGGAUGAAAUACUGAAAAAAAUUCUGGAUGAAAGAAGUUUAGAAACUUGGACUAGAGGUGUAGCUCGGUGGCAGGGUUCUUGCUGAGCAUGCUUGGCUUGGAUCUCCAACAUCUUCUAAAAAAAGUUCAGAAGCCUAGUCUUGCACUACUAUGCAACUUCCCAGUCAUUGCUCCGGGAUGCAAUGGUGCACUUCGGACAACAGAUGGCGACGGAGACCGAAGUUUAAGCUGUUUUUCUUCUGCAGCUGUGGAAAUCCCCGCGGAAACCCGACUAUUCGCAGGGGCUCUCCCCACGCAGCCUUUGCCUCUCUCUUCUUUCUCACAUUACAUCAAUCUGCCAGGUUCUGACAGCGGCGACGGUGGGAUAUGGAAAACCAGGGACAGGAGAAGGGGUGAUGGGCAGCUUUCCAGACCAGACCCUGAAGCCCUCCUGCUUCCCAGGGACCCAAUUGUAGGGCUUCAGGCUGGAGGACAAGUGGGCGACCUGGGUCAGGUGGUGCAUCCUGUAGAUCCUACUGUGGCCCCGCUAGAGCUGAGCUCCACCCCGGAAUUCCGCUCCCGCACCCCGACCCCCGACAUUUUCUCCACUAAUGUAUUAUCAUCACUUAGUGCGGUCCUACUGAAUAAAUAUUUGUUGAAUGAAAGAGUGAAGUAGAAAAAUUGAGGCCAUGCUCCUCUAAAUUGCUUAUCUGGGUUCCUUCAGGCCCUUAGUGGCAGGGCCAGGUCUAGAGCUCAGGUUUUCUGAUUUCCGGUUUGGUUCUCUUUCCACCAGUUUGUAUAAUCCCAUCGUAUUUCCAUUUAGACUCUUUUAGUCCUAAUUAUUGAAUGAAAGACUUCAUCCUCCCUUAGAGCGGUUAGGGAGCAGAGAACUGCACAGGGUAUUUUUUGUUUGUUUGUUUGUUUGUUUUUGGAAAGGUCUCACCUGAAUUAUAUAUUUUUCCUUUCCUCCAUCUUGACCAUAUUCAUUAGAGUCCUCUAUCCUUUCCUGUCGUCUUCCCCAGAUGAAGAAUUCAGUUUUUACAUCUUAUCUGAAUGUUUAUCUGUCACCUGAAAGUUUAUGUGUAUGUGUGGUGUGUGUGUGUCCAUGUCCUAAGGUUUUUCUUUUUUUAUUCUGCAUUAUAAUUUGUCAUAAAGGUGGAAUUCAUUGUGAUAUAUCCUUACGUCCAUGUAACAGAAUUUGGUUGAUUCCCUAAGGAUUUUCUUAACUCCUAGAGUAUGAAUCCUACCAAUCUGAGGGACGACUGGCAUUUGUCUUCUCUGACAAAGUUGUGUUGCAUGUUCUGUAAGAAAAGGUGGGGUCCGGUCAGAAUUCUCCGUUUGUC
rnacentral:lncRNA from 1 species